CCUACGGGAGGCAGCAGUGGGGAAUAUUGGACAAUGGGCGCAAGCCUGAUCCAGCCAUGCCGCGUGGGUGAAGAAGGCCUUCGGGUUGUAAAGCCCUUUUGUUGGGAAAGAAAAGCAGUCGGUUAAUACCCGAUUGUUCUGACGGUACCCAAAGAAUAAGCACCGGCUAACUUCGUGCCAGCAGCCGCGGUAAUACGAAGGGUGCAAGCGUUACUCGGAAUUACUGGGCGUAAAGCGUGCGUAGGUGGUUGUUUAAGUCCGUUGUGAAAGCCCUGGGCUCAACCUGGGAAUUGCAGUGGAUACUGGGCAACUAGAGUGUGGUAGAGGAUGGCGGAAUUCCCGGUGUAGCAGUGAAAUGCGUAGAGAUCGGGAGGAACAUCUGUGGCGAAGGCGGCCAUCUGGACCAACACUGACACUGAGGCACGAAAGCGU
rnacentral:rRNA from 1 species